rnacentral:misc_RNA from 1 species
UUAAGUUCAGCGGGUAGUCCUACCUGAUUUGAGGUCAAAUUGUCAAAAAGUUGUCUUUGCAGACGGUUAGAAGCAAGUCUAAACCUCUUCCACGGCGUAGAUAAUUAUCACACCAAUAGACGAGGCUUAGUGAAACUCGCUAAUGCAUUUCAGAGGAGCAGACCGCGCUGAGGCAGCCUGCAUAAACCUCCACAUCCAAG